CCUUUAAGGAUCAGCUUCUGGGUUACAAGUGAUUACAGUAUAUCUGCUUUUCACAAUAAGAUGUAGCAAGUCCUUGCAACUAUAAAGACUGAGCUGAGAGGUGGAGCAAGGACGGCAUGGAGUGAUUAGGAGCUGAGUGACGAACAUCUAAACAGAGGGAACAGCUGGGAAUUUACUAGGAUUGGGAGAUGAGGAGGAUUAACUACAGCAUUAUCCCAAAGACACAGAAUGAUAGAGAAAGGAAAGUAGACUAAGAAAGGGGAGCAGGUGAAAGAGUACUAGACCAAGAGAGGGUGACCAUAUAGUACAUAGUAUUAGUGAGGUGCACCAGAGAGGAAAUAGAGACAAUUAAGACUAGGAGAAAGUGUUAAACAUAGUGAACAGACAAGAGAUCAGAGAUAAAUAUAGAAACUAGUUCAGAAAGUGACACAUUGGGUGACGUUAUAAAGUGACGCAAGGAUUGUGACAUCAAGGGGGAGAGUCGGAGGUAAAGGAGGUCACAGAAGAGGACGAGAGAAAGCGAGAGAGAGAACUGAGAAAGAAGAGCUUUAUAGACCAAGUGACCACCCCUCUCACAACACUGGACCCUUUAACUCAACUCCAUAUCUACCUGAAGCAGAGCAGCCGCUUCUACGACAUGUCAAGGGAGCAGCUGGAAGGAGUUGUUCGCACAGUGGAGGCCCUUUUGGGAGAGGCCGAGUCUCUAAGAGCAAAGUGUCAGCAACAAAAUGAUGAAGUGCGGCAGCUCUGUGAAGAUAUGAGGAAUGAGAACAGGGACCUGGUAGAGCGUUUUGGGCAGGCUGAAAGGGACCUUUCCGAAGUCAAGCGCUCUGUCAAUGAGUUGAUGGACACCAAGGUGGCUUUUGAAGCCAGAGAAAGGCAAGUGCGGAAGCUGAGCAAACAACUGUGAACAGUACAAAGAAAGCAACAUGGAAACUGAAGAUCAUCACUCCAAGGAUUGCUCCCUGUUUUUAAUCUAGCUAGGAAGUCUUACUUUACUACUGCUAGUUUCUUUAUUGUUCCCUAAUUCUAACAUGCCUACCAACCUUGUUCGAGGAAGGAAUUAUAUGCCACUCUUAAGUCAGAAGGGACAUUGUUUAUAGAUAACAGGUCACUGAUUAAACUCUGUUUCACUCUCUUAA